rnacentral:rRNA from 1 species
AUGCCAAUGGAAGGCAUGCCUAGCUGGCCUGUGUCUGACAGACGAAGGCCAGCUGUUCCAGGCUAUAUGCAAAUGCCUGGGAGACCUAGGACUGAGAGAAGAAGAGGUGCAGAUGAGCCUCCAAAACAUCCACACAAGCUUUCAAAAAUUGGAAGAAAAGGUAAGUGCAGUCUGUGUGGACAACCUGGGCACAACAUGAGAAAGUGCACAAGUAAUCCCAACAGGGGGAAAUACAAGAAUAAGAAGAGAAAGAAAGAGACAAAGCAAAAUGAACCAAGAACAUCGCAGAGAGUCACUAAGGGAACAUCUACAGGGGACAGGGCACAAUCUUCACAACAGGGCACCCAGCAACAUUCUUCACAUCAAGGCACACAACACAAAUCUUCACAGCAGGGCACCCAAACCAAACCUACAAGUGGAAGGGCCCCUAAACAAGUCAACAAAACUGCACCUAAAGCUAAAAUGUGCAAAAGACCAGGAGCAACUUCUAGGCAGAGGAGGACCAUGAGCAUGUUUGAUGAACUUAGGAGUUAG